CCUCUGUUGAAAUCCAAUCCCUGCUCUUUACUUGAAAAUCUCCUGGCACAAACUUAGAGGGUGUUUGCUUUGGAAGAGUUAGGAACUUUGAAUUCAUGGGCAUGAGAACUGGCUCCAACUUUCUGUAAGUGAAUGACUGCAAACAAGCCACCUAAUUUCCUUUCUCUAAAGUGAGAAUCACAUUCCCUUUUCUGCGUGCUUCAAGAACUGCUAAGGCUAUCCAGUGUGAUAAGCACAGAAGAGAGUUUUGUAAACUCUUUGAAAAUAUUAGUGACAAUUAUUAUUCAACUUCUUUUUCUUGUUCCAUUUCAUCUCUAAUCUUUGUGGUUUAUUUACAAUCUCUGAUUUCCAGAAAGGAUUUGAGGCAAUUGUCUCAGCAAUAUACCUUUCAAAAACUGUGUGAAUUCAAUUUAAUAAAUAUUGAUCUCCUGUUAUAUUAACUUUAUUGAGCACUUGCUAUGCCCUGGGAGCUGCAUAAAUCAUAUCACUGAAACCACACACAAAACGCUGGAGGGAAAUAUUUUUAUUUACCUUUGCUUGCAGAUGAUUAUACUGAGGCUUAUGGAUGUUAAAUAACUUGAUCCAGGUUGCACGUAGAAGUUGUGGAGUCUAGAUUUAACUUAGAUUUCAACGACUCCAAAGUUCAUGCACUUAACCAUUAUUCUAUACCACUCUUCCUGUCCUUGGCUCCAAAUGGAUCACUUCUCAUGUCCUAUUAAUCUUUCCCAAUGUUUUUCAAACUUUAUCCUGAAAUUCUUGUCAAAUUUGUGGAUGAGGUUUGUGUUGAUAGACACAUAGCACUCAAUCAGCCAGCCCAUGGGCUCUAGCUUCCUUGAGUAGAUGACUCGUUUUCUCCCCGUAAUUUUUGUCUCACUUGUCAGUCUAUCUAAUUGAAUUCUAACCUCCUUAAAAAAGAUCAGGAGUGAUGUCUACAUACUAUAUUCCCUGCCGAAUUCAUUUUUUUUUGGCACAACUUAAUGUAAAAAGGUAAUUUUCUUGCAAUAUGAAGGCUAGAAGUUUAUAAUAACAUAUAUCACAAUGCUCAAUUUCAGAAUUCAGAAUUUUUUAUUUGUUUCCCUUGGCAGCAGAAACCAUUGACUCAGAAAAUGGAACCUGGACUUUCUGGGUUGUGAGAGGAUUUAGAAAGUCCCCUAAUCCAGACUUUUUCAUUUGGAGCUGAGAAGUUGGAGGCCCAGAUCAGGGAAGUAACCGAUCUUGAAGAGCUUUGAAUUUUGAGUGGUUCAAAUUCUCGUCUUUCGUAUGAUUCAUUAUUGUGGAUGCACUGGGAGCUCCCAGGCUCAGAACUGGAUGGAAGGUCACACUCCCUGACAGUGUGAAUCAGUUGAUUCCAUGGGGGCACAUACCUCAGGAUCUGCUACUGCCAGGCUGUUGGGAAAAGGACCUUGUCCUCAGUGUUAUCUCCUGUUCUCUUCAGAUUCCUGUUCAUCCAAUGCCUUGCCAGCAAGUUGCUACUCAAACAAGAAGCCUCCCUUAAUUCUUCAACUGGACCUGCACCUCAUUUUUUCUGGAUUGGCAAAGCACUUUGUGUUUAAAGAUCUUCGAGGUAACAUGGUGGAACAGAGAAAAUACUGGCAUUGAAUCCAGAUGACCCUGGUUUCCAUAUCUUGCUGUGCCAUGUGCUUGCUCUGUGACCUUGGAAAUAUAUUUAUUUAUUUGAGGCCAUGUUGCUUUCAUCAUUAAAAAGAAGGUGCCAUCCACUGUGGGACUGUUGUAAAGACUAGCAGAUGCUGGAUGUAAAUGACUGCUUAAUUGCUACAUAAAGAUUGCCUCGUAUUGUUAGGAGUCAGCUAGGCCUAAAUGCAAACCCAUCUUUACCACCUAAUCUCUGGGUAAGACUUCAGUUCAGUUCCUUAAGCCUUUGGAUACUUGGGUGUCCUCUCUGGUAUAUUGAUUGUAAGAAUUAGCAGAAAUGUACAUAGCAUACCUUGUGAAGUUUCUGGCAUCUGGCAGAUGCCCACAUAUGACUGCUUUCUCUUUUUAUUUUAAUAUGUUGUCGCCUUGUCUCUCUCUCACUCUUUAGACUGUAGGCUCCUUGAAGGCUAGAAGCAUGCUUACUUCUGGGCAUCUUCAAUACAUUUAUUUACUGAAUAAAUAAAAUAUAAACAUAUGCUCAGCGAUACUGGGGAGUAAGAGGAAUAAAUCAAUGGGUAGCUUCCUAUAAUAUAAGCAUACAAUUAAAAUCCCCUGAGUGGCACAAGGUUCUCCUUGCUAGAGCCCUUGUCUACCUCUGUAAACUCCUACUUGGCCCUUUCUUGUCUGCCUCAUCACAGCAACAGCCACACUGGCCUCAUGGUGUCCAGUAGCCACCAGCCUUCUCUCACACUGAGGGCACCUGUGCUAUUUCCUUUGCCUGGAAUAUUGUUCCCAUGGAUUUCCAUAUGGUUGUUUCCUUCUUGCCCUUUGAAAGAUCCCAUCUUGCUGAAAGAUUACUUCUUCAGAGAGAUUUUCUCAGGCUAAGCUCUCUAAGUUAUGCAUUUUCUCCAAUGUUCUUUUCCUCACUAAUUUGUUUCUUUCAUAUCACUUACUAACAUUAAAAUUAUAGUAGAGUAUAUUUUUUGGUUUUGCUGCCCAGAAUUUUCUUGGUUGAGGAGAACUGAAAUUUAGUUUUUGAGAGACCAGGAGCUUUAGGUGAAGCUGACCUCAUCCCAGGGCUUCAGGGCAGGAUUGCAUGACCUACACUAAAGCAAUCAUUGAAUCCUACCCCUCUCUUCGUGGUGAUUGGUUCAAGCAUCUCUCUUAGACUCAAAUCAAGACAGUGUAGCCAAAUGAAACUCAAUUCUGGGCCAUAAAAAAGUUAUUGGGGAAGUAGUUUCCUCUUUUCUGUGGACAUAAACCAGGAAAAAUGUAAGGACUGGAGCUGAAGUAGCAAUCUCAUAGUGAAGAAAAAGAAAAGGGAUUGUGUGUGUGUGUGUGUGUGUGUCUUUAUGACCAUCAUUUGAGUACCUUGAUCAAUCUAUGCCUGAACUGGACAUAUAGACAGAGUCUUCAGUUACAUAGCCAAUAUAUUUCAUAUUUCU
rnacentral:lncRNA from 1 species